AGUGAACGCUGGCGGUAGGCCUAGCACACGCAAGUCGAACGGCAGCACAGUAAGAGCUUGCUCUUACGGGUGGCGAGUGGCGGACGGGUGAGGAAUACAUCGGAAUCUACUUUUUCGUGGGGGAUAACGUAGGGAAACUUACGCUAAUACCGCAUACGACCUACGGGUGAAAGCAGGGGAUCUUCGGACCUUGCGCGAUUGAAUGAGCCGAUGUCGGAUUAGCUAGUUGGCGGGGUAAAGGCCCACCAAGGCGACGAUCCGUAGCUGGUCUGAGAGGAUGAUCAGCCACACUGGAACUGAGACACGGUCCAGACUCCUACGGGAGGCAGCAGUGGGGAAUAUUGGACAAUGGGCGCAAGCCUGAUCCAGCCAUACCGCGUGGGUGAAGAAGGCCUUCGGGUUGUAAAGCCCUUUUGUUGGGAAAGAAAAGCAGCAGGUUAAUACCCCGCUGUUCUGACGGUACCCAAAGAAUAAGCACCGGCUAACUUCGUG
rnacentral:rRNA from 1 species